AUUGAACGCUGGCGGCAGGCCUAACACAUGCAAGUCGAGCGAGCGGCGGACGGGUGAGUAAUGUCUGGGAAACUGCCUGAUGGAGGGGGAUAACUACUGGAAACGGUAGCUAAUACCGCAUACCAUCAGAUGUGCCCAGAUGGGAUUAGCUAGUAGGUGGGGUAAUGGCUCACCUAGGAGACGAUCCCUAGCUGGUCUGAGAGGAUGACAAGCCACACGGGAAAUGCGACAAGGUCCAUACUACUCAGGGCGGCAGCAGUGGGGAAUAUUGGAAAAUGGGCGCAAGCCGGAGGCAGCCAUGCAGCAUGUGUGAGGAUGGCCUUCGGGUUGUAAAGCACUUUAAGCGAGGAGGCGUUAUCGCAGAAAAGCACCGGCUAACUCCGUGCCAGCAGCCGCGGUAAUUC
rnacentral:rRNA from 1 species